CCUACGGGAGGCAGCAGUGAGGAAUAUUGGUCAAUGGCCGGAAGGCUGAACCAGCCAUGCCGCGUGAAGGUCAGUGCCCUAUGGGUUGUAAACUUCUUUUAUAUGGGAAUAAAAUGUUCCACGUGUGGGAUUUUGUAUGUACCAUAUGAAUAAGGAUCGGCUAACUCCGUGCCAGCAGCCGCGGUAAUACGGAGGAUCCGAGCGUUAUCCGGAUUUAUUGGGUUUAAAGGGAGCGUAGGUGGAUUGUUAAGUCAGUAGUGAAAGUUUGCGGCUCAACCGUAAAAUUGCAGUUGAAACUGGCAGUCUUGAGUACAAUAGAGGUGGGCAGAAUUCGUGGUGUAGCGGUGAAAUGCUUAGAUAUCACGAAGAACUCCGAUUGCGAAGGCAGCUCACUGGACUGCAACUGACACUGAGGCUCGAAAGUGUGGGUAUCAAACAGGAUUAGAUACCCCAGUAGUC
rnacentral:rRNA from 1 species